GAGCGGAUACUGAAAAGAAAUUCCAUCUCGGACGACGCACCGUGUGCGAUUAAAUAAUAUCAAUCCAGGCGUAGGAAGAAGGUUUUCAAACGAAGGAUUCGAAUUCUCAUGCCUGACUAUAAUGAGAGCUAACCAUGGAAUUGCACAAGAUUGCGAAUUAUCUGCUACGCUACAGUCCGAUCCGCCCCUGUUGAGCAGAGCAAAGGAACCAGGAGAGAGAGCGAGGAAGAGUCCGAAAGAGUGAGGGGAAACGACCUGGUGGAGCUGGUCCUUCGACGUCGAGGACCGACCCCGACCGGCGACGCAUUUACAUAUCUCACGUGUAAUAACCUCGAAAAAGUUUUAACAAUGGCCCGAGGUUCGCCAAGGUUCGAACGAAAGGCGAGAAGGUAUAGAGAUGAGAUUGAAGGAAGAGGGAUUGGGAAGGAAUAUUCAACGAACAAAUCGUCUGAAAUCUCAAAGGAUGGCACAGGGUCACGUCCGAGGACGGAUGUUCGCUAAUCAAAAGCUUUUCAUGGAAUUCAUUUCAUAGGAUUGCAGUCAUCGAAACUAUCUUUCAACGAGAUUUAUCCUUCCUUUCAAAUAGGUACUAUAAGUUUCAAUUUAGUCGAGUUCCAUUGCUAUAACCACAUCUAAUCUUAGAAAACGAGACGAUUCAGUUUGGUUUCGUGAAAAGGAAGAUCGUCGCGACAACGGCGACGGCGUCACGUUGUCACGGGAGAGGCAAGAAAUGCGAGGUAUGUUAGGCGCUAUUGCAGCAUGGUCAGAGGUGGCCGACGUAUGUAUGUACGAACGUACGGUUUGUCCGGUUUUCGAGACAAAGAGUUCGUCGAACCCCGGCCGUUCGAUCCGGCGGCGGCACUGCUACCGAAUGCGCCGCGUACCAACUCCAACCGUCGUCGGUCGUCGGUCCGCGUGACGUGCGACGCGUGCACCCACGUGCGAUCUUAGUGCACGCCGCUCGCACGUGCGCCCGUCGCACACGGGAACGCGAGGAGGACGAGAAAUUUCCUCGAUCACGAAGGAAUCGAGCGUUCUGCGAUGAAUCAGUAAUACGAAGAAAACUAAGUA